CAUUCAACCAGCGUGAAAUUGAUCCAGGGAUGGUUUGCUCAGAAGUAAAAGAGACUCAACAAACGCUCUCUUGCACAGAGAAGAUCCAAAAUUCGCAACAAUCUCCUCUUUCUCUUUCACUCUUUCACUCUCCCACUCUCAUUCCGCCGCCAUGGACGAUCAACCGUUGCAGAAAAUCGCGAUUUCGGGACCCACCCUAGCCUCCCUCAUCCAGCGCUUCUCCACCUCCCCCUCCUCCCUCCACGGCCUCCUCUUCGGCCACGUCACCCCCCUCCCCCUCACUCUCUCCGACGACGACGACGACACCUCCUCCUCCGCCACCCUCCUCGCCAUCGUCACCGGCUUCCUCACCUCCCCCUCCUUCCACGACUCCUCCGGCACCGUCCUCCCCUCCUCCCUCCCCACCUCCUCCCCCCUACUCGGCUGGUUCUCCGCUCGCCGCCGCUCCCCCCUCCGCCCCUCCAUGCGCGAAUUCUCCGUCACCUCCUCCCUCUCCUCUCUCUCCCAAUUCUCUUCCCAAAUCCAAAACCCAAACUCAAUUUCCUCCGAAUCCUCUCUUUUCCCUCCUUGCAUCUUCCUCCUCCUCGCCUCCCCCUCCUCCUCCGACCACCACCACUCCCAUGUCCACACGCACGAGUACCGCGCCUUUCAGUUCCGCCCCGCCUCCCUCUCCUUCGAGCCCCGCUCCCUCGACGUCGUCAACAUCGGCCCCGCCUUCCGCGGCCACUACGGCGCCUUUGCCCCCAAUUCCAACCUCCCGCCGCUCGACUGUGGGCCCCACGACUCCCCCAUGAUAAGCGACGGCGGCGACGAGACUAUGGGAAAAAUGAAGCAGGCCACCAAGGACCAGAGGGAGCUCAACCAAUGCGCGGAGGGGUUCGAGGUUGGGAGGCUCAGCAGAAUGAUGGGGUCUGAGGCCAAGAACUACACCGAGGGUUUGGAGGAAUUGUAUCAGAAGAUGCUUGUGAAGAUUGAGAACUUGUCUGGCUUGGUGGAGAAGAGUUCUGCUAUGGUUAUUGAGCAGGAGAAUCAUAAUAGGAAGUUGAAACACAAAAUUUUAAGAUCUGCUGCCUCAGAAUAACUACCUUUAUCAACUGUGGUGAACCCUUCUUUUUUUGUUCAGUUUCAAAUCAUUACCAAUGCAAGAACUCUGCUGGGUAUUAUAUUCAAGCUCAUUCACUAUUCACAUUCAUUAUUUGUACAAAUUAAACCAAGCCGUGGUUUAAGAGACCAAGACUAAGAUUUCAGGGGUUUGACAUUUAUCAUAUACUUUGCCUCGGAAGUAAUAGCAAAGGACCAUGAAUUGUGCCCACCUGUGCAGUGAAGAUUAGCAAUGGACAUUUUCAGCGUUCUGUGCCUGAUCUGGAUCAUCAACAGUUUCUUCUGGUCACUUGAAAAAUGAGCAUGCCUUUCUAGACCAUUUGGUCGGCCUGUGGUAUACAUGCAGUCCAGCACUCCAGCUAUUGUAGAUGAUGUAUUUAACUUUUUGAUGACUCUUCAAUCUGAAGAAGGCAGUAAUUUUGCAGAGAAGUUGAAUGAUGUGGUCCUUCUCAAUACAAGAAUGAUAUGAUGUUUUUUGAUCCUCACCCUGUGGCAUAUAUUCACUCCAUGUAAUGAUAUGCCAACUCUAUUAUGUAUUGCAUUUUCACCUUUAGUUGCUAUGUCGUUUUCACAAGGUCACUUACAAGAGAAAUGAAAUCAACAUGCAUUGCGGUAUUGUUAAUGGUUGCUAACUUAUCUUUCUACUCCAUGUAUAGUUGUUGCUGAAAUGCCUACCUUUGACAACUAUGAUUUAAUAGCAGAAAUUCUAUUUUGCACUCGUC